GACGGUCGCCAGCAGGCGCGAGGCGGGGCCGGUUCGCCAACGUCCCUUGGUUGGACGGUUCGAAUCUGCCGUUCGAAGUCAGUUAGGGUGAAGGAGGAGGAGGGGAGCCGAAAAACACGUUCCUCACCUCCCGCCGCCCGCUGACGAGAAGCUGGACUUACAGAAGUCAUGAGCAGUUCACACAGAAUGACUUUGAAUGGUCAACAUUCUGGUAUAAAAGAUAGAAGACAGCAAGACACCAGAUCUAACGGAAAGGGACAUGUGAGCAAAUCGAAAGACCUGGUCAUUGCCUUCAAGAAGCAAGGGGGAUGGCAUGCCUUACGUCAAUGGAGCUGAAUUGAGGACGGUUGAGAGUAUCCAGUUCCUAGGAGUGAUGAUCAAGAAAGUACAACAAUGCCUCUACUUCCUCAGGAGUUUAAGGAAAUUCGGCAUGGUUUGUAAAGACUCUCACUGAUUUUUAUAGAUGCACCACUAAAAGCAUUCUAUGCGGAUGCAUCUUGGCUCAGUACAGCAACAGCUGUGUCCAGGACCAUAAGAAACUACAGAGUUGUGAACACAGCCCAUUCCAUCACACAAGCCAACUUUCCAUCCACUGACUCCAUCUACACUUCUCACUGCCCUGGGAAGGCAGCCAACAUAAUCAAAGACCCCUUCCACCCCGGUUAUAAUCUUUUCCAACCUCUUCCGUUGGGCAGAAGGUACAAAAGCUUAAACCAAUGUACCAACAGAUUCAAGAACAGCUUCUUCUCGGCUGAAUGGACCUCUCAGAUUUUAAAUUUAAUAUUUAUCUCGCUUUUUGUGUACCUUCACUGCAGCCUUAACAUUGUAUUCUUCGCUCUGAUCUAUUACCCUAAUUCACUUUGUACGGUAUGAUCUGCCUGUACUGCACCAAAACAAAACUUUUCAUUGUACCUAGGUACGUGUGACUGUAAUAAAUCAAAAAUCAAAAUCAGGGUUAUAUUGGAGUAGAAUUUAGCUACUUCUAAUGGCCCACAGUGCCUCGCUGAUACCAGAUUGAGUACUAAAUCUGUUUCAAGACUAUACCAUUUCAGAUGGUGACAGUACCACAAAGACAAUGGUUGGUAUUCUCAAUAUGAAGAUGGGAUUUUGUUUCCACAAGGACAUAUGCAUCUUCAACAGACAGAUUGGUGAGGAUGAGGUUAAGUAUGUUUUUCCCGUUUGUUGGUUCUCCUGCCAUCUGCUUUAGACCCAGUCUAGUAGCUAUGACACUGGACUAAUAAUGCAGGUUAAUGUUCUGGUGAAGUUUGAAUUGGGUAAAAAUCUGAAAUUAAAAAAACUAGCUAUUAUCAACCUUGUAAGCACUGUCAAUUGUCAUAAUAACCCAUCUGUUCUUCUGACAUUACUAAUGUCCAUUAGGAAAGAAAAUCUGUCUCUGUGACUCUAAACCCACAGCAAUGUGGUGGACUCUUAACUGCCCACUGAGCAAUUAGAAAUGAGCAACAAAUAAUUGACUGGUGAUGGUGCUGCUGAGCCACCCUUGAUGAUGGACACCAAAGUUCUCUAUACCUCGUGCUUCUUCAAUGUAUUGUUCAACAUGGAGGAUUAUUGAAUCAUUUGCUAAGGGAGUGUGGUACAAGGUAAUUAGCAGGAGGUUUGCCCACCCAUGUUUGACCUGAUGUCAUGAGACUUCAGAUUGCAGACUCCCAAGACAACUCCUUAUCCUCCUUUCACAGAAUCGUGCAGUGCAGAAGAGGCCCUUUGGCCUAUCAAGUCUGCACCAAUCAAAAAACUACUGUAAAUCUAUUAAUCCUACUUUCCAUCAUUUGGCCUCUAGCUUUGUAUGUUGUGACAUUUGAAAUGCUCGUGCAAGUACUUUAUAAAUGCUGUGAGGUUUUCUGCCUCAACUACACUCCAGAGAGUGCAUUCCAGACCCCACCCACCCUCUGGGUGAGAAUCAUUUUCCCGAAAUCCCUCCAAACCUCCUACUUUAAAUUGGUUUUGACCCUCAACUAAUGGAACAGCUGCUUUCUAUCUAUCCUGGACAUGCCCCUCAUAAUUUUAUGCACCACAAUCAGGUCACCUCUCAGCCUUCUCUGUUCCAAAGAAAACAACCCAAGCUUAUGCAGCUUCUCUUCAGAGC